CUUUUUUUAUUGCAGGCGGUCGUGAUCACAAUCCCAAUCAGAGACGGGUGAAUGAAACAUGUUAAAACAAUAAUGUCAAAAAAUAAAGCAAAAAAGGACGGAAAUUCAAGCCAUCUUUGGGCUCAAACCCUCAACACUUGGCCAUGCAUGCAGCAUUCUUGGGUGGGUCGUCGAUCAGUGGCCGCCGGUCACGGUGUCCUUGACACCCGCCGCCGCGCCGGUCACCGUGUUCGUGACGCCCGCCACCGCGCCGGUCACCGUGUUCGUGACGCCCGCCGCCACGCCCGCCACCGUGUUGGUGACGCCAACCGCCGCGCCCGCCACCGUGUCCUUGACGCCUGCCGCCACGCCCUGGCCCGUCUGCGCCACCUGCUCAGCAGCCUUGUGUUAUAUUGGCAAGCACCACCGCGCGGCAGGAGGGAGAUUCCAGCUGCUGUUAGUUACCUGCUCAACGGUGCCGGUGGCGCGGUGCUGCUGCAGCUGCGCGCUGUCGGCCGCGGCUCCGGCGGUGUCCUUGACGCACUGCGCCGCGUGCUCCGCCUGGUACUGCACACACGCAACCAUAUGAGAUGUGAUCUGCUCGGAUUGGAUUGGAUUGGACUGGAAGGACGACGCCGCCGCGGCCGGAGCUGCUCACCUCGCCCUGGGCCUCCGCCUUGCCGGCCUGGAAGGACUGCCCGAUGUUCGACAUUGCCGAUGGAUGAUCUGAUCUCUGCUUGCUGCUC
rnacentral:misc_RNA from 1 species